rnacentral:rRNA from 1 species
UACAGGGGGGGCAAGCGUUGUUCGGAAUUACUGGGCGUAAAGGGCGCGUAGGCGGCCUGCUAAGUCGAACGUGAAAUCCCUGGGCUCAACCCAGGAACUGCGUCCGAUACUGGUUGGCUUGAAUCCGGGAGAGGGAUGUGGAAUUCCAGGUGUAGCGGUGAAAUGCGUAGAUAUCUGGAGGAACACCGGUGGCGAAGGCGGCAUCCUGGACCGGUAUUGACGCUGAGGCGCGAAAGCUAGGGGAGCAAACGGG